UACAGAGGUCUCAAGCGUUGUUCGGAUUCAUUGGGCGUAAAGGGUGCGUAGGUGGCGGGGCAAGUCAGGUGUGAAAUCUCGGGGCUCAACCCCGAAACUGCACUUGAUACUGCCUGGCUGGAGUACUGGAGAGGAGAUUGGAAUUUACGGUGUAGCAGUGAAAUGCGUAGAUAUCGUAAGGAAGACCAGUGGCGAAGGCGGGUCUCUGGACAGUUCCUGACACUGAGGCACGAAGGCCAGGGGAGCAAACGGG
rnacentral:rRNA from 1 species